rnacentral:rRNA from 1 species
GUGGGGGAUAUUGCACAAUGGAGGAAACUCUGAUGCAGCGACGCCGCGUGAGUGAAGAAGUAUUUCGGUAUGUAAAGCUCUAUCAGCAGGGAAGAUAAUGACAGUACCUGACUAAGAAGCCCCGGCUAACUACGUGCCAGCAGCCGCGGUAAUACGUAGGGGGCAAGCGUUAUCCGGAUUUACUGGGUGUAAAGGGAGCGUAGACGGAAUGGCAAGUCUGAAGUGAAAUCCUGCGGCUUAACUGCAGAAUUGCUUUGGAAACUGUCAAUCUGGAGUGUUGGAGAGGUAAGCGGAAUUCUUGGUGUAGCGGUGAAAUGCGUAGAUAUCAGGAAGAACACCGGAGGCGAAGGCGGCUUACUGGACAAUAACUGACGUUGAGGCUCGAAAGCGUGGGAAGCAAACAGGAUUAGAAACCCUUGUAGUCC